AAGUCGUAACAAGGUUUCCGUAGGUGAACCUGCGGAAGGAUCAUUAAAAAUUUAUAUCCGGGAAUUCGUUUCGUUUUCCCGUGAUUUAUUUGUAUUCAAAUCCCACUCUUUAUAAAUAUAUUAAUUAUAUAAAACAAAAAUAAAAAAGAAAACUUUCAACAACGGAUCUCUUGGCUCUC
rnacentral:misc_RNA from 1 species